rnacentral:rRNA from 1 species
AUUGAACGCUGGCGGCAUGCCUUACACAUGCAAGUCGAACGGCAGCACGGGAGCAAUCCUGGCGGCGAGUGGCGAACGGGUGAGUAAAGUAUCGGAACGUGCCCAGUCGUGGGGGAUAACGUAGCGAAAGUUACGCUAAUACCGCAUACGAUCUACGGAUGAAAGCGGGGGAUCGCAAGACCUCGCGCGAUUGGAGCGGCUGAUAUCAGAUUAGGUAGUUGGUGGGGUAAAGGCUCACCAAGCCGACGAUCUGUAGCGGGUCUGAGAGGACGACCAGCCAAACUGGGACUGAGACACGGCCCAGACUCCUACGGGAGGCAGCAGUGGGGAAUUUUGGACAAUGGGCGCAAGCCUGAUCCAGCCAUGCCGCGUGCAGGAUGAAGGCCUUCGGGUUGUAAACUGCUUUUGUACGGAACGAAAAGGUUUGGCCUAAUAAGCUGGACCCAUGACGGUACCGUAAGAAUAAGCACCGGCUAACUACGUGCCAGCCGCCGCCGUAA